UUUGUUAGGGUUUAAUUGUCUUUGUUAUUUGUGAGCCAUUCUAGUAUCUCUUUGAUACUUGAAUUGGAUUGAGUUUAUUGAGUUGUAAUUGUGAAUCAAUCAUGAGAUUUUAAGAAAUAGUGCAUUCUGUUUCAUUAGAAGUGUGUCUUCUGUUCUUUGAUUUCUUUUUCUAGUUGUUAUCACUAUUGUGUGAUUGAAGGGAA
rnacentral:lncRNA from 1 species